rnacentral:rRNA from 1 species
AUUGAACGCUGGCGGCAGGCCUAACACAUGCAAGUCGAGCGAGCGGCGGACGGGUGAGUAAUGUAUGGGGCCUGCCUGCUUGAGGGGGAUAACUACUGGAAACGGUUGCUAAUACCACAUACCAUAGGAGAACCGAUAUGGGAGUAUCAAGUUGGUGGGGUAACGGCGCACCUAGGCGACGAUCCCUAGCUGGUCUGAGAGGAUGAUCAGCCAAACUGGGACUGAGACACGGCCCAGCCUCCCAGGGAGGCAGCAGGGGGGAAUAUGGCACAAUGGGCGCAAGCCUGAUGCAGCCAUGCAGCGUGUAUGAAGAAGGCCUUAGGGUUGUAAAGUACUUUCAGUCGGGAGGCGGUAGCGGCAGAAGAAGCACCGGCUAACUCCGUGCCAGCAGCCGCGGUAAUUC